rnacentral:rRNA from 1 species
CCUACGGGAGGCAGCAGUAGGGAAUAUUGCGCAAUGGGGGAAACCCUGAUGCAGCAACGCCGCGUGGGUGAAGAAGGUUUUCGGUUUGUAAAACUCUGUUGUUAGAGAAGAAAAUGACGGUACCUAACUAAAAAGCCCCGGCUAACUACGUGCCAGCAGCCGCGGUAAUACGUAGGGUGCAAGCGUUAUCCGGAUUGACUGGGCGUAAAGAGGGCGUAGGCGGGAUCGCAAGUCAGAUGUGAAAGCCGCGGGCUUAACCAGAGGAGUGCAUUGGAAACUGUUCGGCUGGAGUGCAGGAGAGGUAAGUGGAAUUCUGAGUGUAGGGGUGAAAUGCGUAGAGAUCAGGAGGAACACCAGUGGCGAAGGCGGCGUGCUGGACCGUAACUGACGCUGAUGCUCGAAAGCGUGGGGAGCAAACAGGAUUAGAUACCCGAGUAGUC